GCAUAUCAAUAAGCGGAGGAAAAGAAACCAACAGGGAUUGCCCUAGUAACGGCGAGUGAAGCGGCAACAGCUCAAAUUUGAAAUCUGGCUCUCGGGCCCGAGUUGUAAUUUGUAGAGGAUACUUUUGAUGCGGUGCCUUCCGAGUUCCCUGGAACGGGACGCCAUAGAGGGUGAGAGCCCCGUCUGGUUGGAUGCCAAAUCUCUGUAAAGUUCCUUCGACGAGUCGAGUAGUUUGGGAAUGCUGCUCUAAAUGGGAGGUAUAUGUCUUCUAAAGCUAAAUACCGGCCAGAGACCGAUAGCGCACAAGUAGAGUGAUCGAAAGAUGAAAAGCACUUUGAAAAGAGAGUUAAAAAGUACGUGAAAUUGUUGAAAGGGAAGCGUUUAUGACCAGACUUGGGCUUGGUUGAUCAUCUGGGGUUCUCCCCAGUGCACUCUUCCAGUCCAGGCCAGCAUCAGUUUUCGCCGGGGGAUAAAGACUUCGGGAAUGUGGCUCUCUUCGGGGAGUGUUAUAGCCCGUUGUGUAAUACCCUGGCGGGGACUGAGGUUCGCGCAUCUGCAAGGAUGCUGGCGUAAUGGUCAUCAACGACCCGUCUUGAAACACGGACC
rnacentral:rRNA from 1 species